CUAAUAUCUCACUGUGCCCCGCUGUGAGAAACCGAGAGUGGGAUUUCCUUAAAGGUUUUGUCACGCAUAAUGACAUGCCGACACCCCCCACACAGUCUCUACAUUUGACAUAAACAGAUAUCUGAGUGGUAUACUGAUGUUACAGAGUGUCUCAAUUAUCAAGGGAUGUUAGACCUCUCAACUUCCUUUUAAUGUUCAUUUAUUAUUUAUGGCUUGUUUCUUAAUGUUAGCUAUACACAAACUACUUCUUCCAGCCAUUGUUGGUGCUUUCACUUUCUCUACAGUGUGAGUUGGUGGGUUACAGUGGAGAAUUCUAGGGGGAAAUUCGGCUGUUGGCUGGGGGAGUUUCCAUUGCAGCAGAGGCGGAGUAACACUGACAUGUUUAAUUUGCCAGUGAGGGCUUGUAGUCCUGAGCAGUAGUGUGGUACAAGUAGUGUGUUCUGUUAGCACAGUAGUGUUUGUACAGCUGUUACCAUACUCUUAAGUAGUUCCUGUAGUGUAAAUGUUGUUCUACCUGAACACAGAACUAACUUUAUAGUUUUGUUCCUGAAACAUUUCUGUUCUCUACAACAACACAGUGGUGUAGAAAUAUGAAGUUGCUGGAGCUGGGGGACUCAAUCAGUCGCUUCAGGUUCGCUCAGUCCUGUGUGGGGCUGGCAGGUUGCCUGUGUGUGUGCUACGCAGUCUGCACACCAUUCUGGAUGAAGGAUAGGGGACUCUGGACUCAGUGUAAUAACACUAAAAGUGACCAGACAAAUCGUAAAGGUGGCAAUGACUUCAACGCCCUGGAAGCAGAGAGAGUAUUUGGAGUUGUUUCCUUCCUCAUGGCUGUGAGCACUGGUGGUCUGUGUGUGGUGUUUGCCCUCUGCUGGACAUCUGAGACAGUGCGCUCCUACUCCAACACUCGCUCUCUCCUCAUGGCAGGACAGGCCCUCUACCCCAGCACUCUGCUGCUGUUCACCAUGGCCUCUACAGGUUUCUUCUUCCUCCUCAGCUGGUCUUUUUUCACCUAUCAGCACAGGGAAGAAAUCCGUCAAGACUUUUCCACCCUCGGCUCCUCCUAUUGGCUAGGGGCUUUAGGUUGGGUCCUGCUGUUGGUCGUGGAGAUGAUAGUCUUUAUAGCUGAGCAAGCUGUUGUGCCCGACAUCCUACCAGACUUAGAGAAGGCUGUGGAGUCGUGGCGGAUUUCCUCUCAACUUAAGCACACUAAAUGCUCGUUCAGCGAUGGUUUUUACCCUGGUGCCUAAUGGCCUUGUGUGGAGUCCAGAAAUGAGGACAUGACAGAGCAAAUGAAUGUUAAUGUGUAAGUUGCACAUUAACCCACUCAGACUGAACGAGAAACCAGCAAUUCCUCGCUGCUUUGUAGAUCUAUACAACCAGACUGGAUAUUGAUUAACUGUGUUGGGAGUUAAAUGUUUGCCAGAGGAAUUAAGACUGAAUCCUGAAAGUCAGUGGGACUGAAGGCUUCAGCUUCCUGAAGAGCUGAUCGUGGUGGUUAUUCUCCACUUUGUUUUCAGUAUUGACUGAAAGGAAAUAAAAACAAUCAACAAUACUGAAAGUAGGCACCAAAUGUAAGAUGACAACUGUUCUCUGACAAAGUAUGCAUGUGUACACUGGUGUUUGCGAAGUUUUACAUUUCAUAAAGCGUUGUCCAGGUUUGACGAGGAACAGAUCCAGCUGUGGGGGUUUCAGUUGGCUUUAUGUCAACAAAACACUCCCUAAACAUCCAACUAGUACCGGUAACUGAAUAUUUCAGCGGGAGCUGCUAUGUAGUUGAUGAAUGUUAAAAACAGAGCCACCUUGUGGUUCCCAUGUGACACUUUUGACAGUCCUCAGCAAAAGAAAAAUAGAUUAUUUGUGUACAGGGACAUCAUAACAUUAUAUAUAUAUAUAUAUAUAUAUGGCAAAUACUCACAGCAAAUACACAUUGUGUUCCUGUGGUGCUUUCCUAUAAAAGGUAUCAAAGGUGUUUGCUGAUGAUUAGUAAUAAUUAGCACACAUAUCUGUAGUCAUACCCCCUUUCAAUGAUCCCUUAUCUUAUUACCAAUUAAUUGUCGUACGGUAUAUGGUAUGUGCAACAAAGCGUACUUUGACAAUGCUGAUCAUGUGCUGUCCCCACCCUUUCACAGUUCAAUAAAAAGUUUCACAAGUUUACAACCAUAACGUGUGUUUGUAUCAAAGGUGAGGGUGGGAGGGACGAGAGCUCAUAUGUCUGAG
rnacentral:lncRNA from 1 species